rnacentral:rRNA from 1 species
GACGAACGCUGGCGGCGUGCUUAACACAUGCAAGUCGAACGGGAUCCGGUCUUUCGGGUUUGGUGAGAGUGGCGAACGGGUGAGUAACACGUGAGUAACCUGCCCCCUUCUUUGGGAUAACGUCGGGAAAUCGGCGCUAAUACUGGAUAUUCUUGCUGCAUCGCCUGGUGUGGUUUGGAAAGGGUUUCUGGUGGGGGAUGGGCUCGCGGCCUAUCAGCUUGUUGGUGGGGUGAUGGCCUACCAAGGCUUUGACGGGUAGCCGGCCUGAGAGGGUGUCCGGCCACACUGGAACUGAGACACGGCCCAGACUCCUACGGGAGGCAGCAGUGGGGAAUAUUGCACAAUGGGCGCAAGCCUGAUGCAGCGACGCCGCGUGAGGGAUGACGGCCUUCGGGUGGUAAACCUCUUUCAGUAUGGAACAAGGAUCCUUCUUUUGGGGGGUUUGAGGGUACGUGCAGAAGAAGCGCCGGCUAACUACGUG